rnacentral:rRNA from 1 species
GAUGAACGCUGGCGGCGUGCCUAAUACAUGCAAGUCGAGCGAACGGACUAGAAGCUUGCUUCUCUGAUGUUAGCGGCGGACGGGUGAGUAACACGUGGAUAACCUACCUAUAAGACUGGGAUAACUUCGGGAAACCGUAGCUAAUACCGGAUAAUAUUUUGAACCGCAUGGUUCAAAAGUGAAAGACGGUCUUGCUGUCACUUAUAGAUGGAUCCGCGCUGCAUUAGCUAGUUGGUAAGGUAACGGCUUACCAAGGCAACGAUGCAUAGCCGACCUGAGAGGGUGAUCGGCCGCACUGGAACUGAGACACGGUCCAGACUCCUACGGGAGGCAGCAGUAGGGAAUCUUCCGCAAUGGGCGAAAGCCUGACGGAGCAACGCCGCGUGAGUGAUGAAGGUCUUCGGAUCGUAAAACUCUGUUAUUAGGGAAGAACAUAUGUGUAAGUAACUGUGCACAUCUUGACGGUACCUAAUCAGAAAGCCACGGCUAACUACGUG